UCCGCGAUCACAGAGACGUAGUCCACGAUCACAGAGUCUUUGAACAAUGAAGAAGUUCUUUGAGACCAGGACAGAGGCUUCCAGGUGUCACCACUUCAUCCACGACAUCGUCCACGAUCACAGAGACAUGGUCCAUGAUCGGAGAGACAUUGUUGAGGAUGAGGGAGACAUCGUCCACGAUCAGAGACAUUGUCCGUGAUCGCAGAGACCUUGUCAAAGACGAGAGAGACGUUGUCCUUGAUCAGAGACAUUGUCCCAUGCUUCGUAGAGACCUUGCGAUAGAAUCGGCGGAGACGGGGGUCACCGAUUUGACGGCACUGCCCGCGAUCAUGGAGACAUUGUUAAUGGUCACAGAGACAGCGUCUAUGAUCUCAGAGACAUCGUCCACGAUCACAAAGACACUGUCCAUGAUCACAGAGACUUUGUCCAUAAUCUCAGAGACAUUGUCCGCGAUCACAGAGACGUAGUCCACGAUCACAGAGAGUACAAUGAAGAAGUUCUUUGAGACCAGAACAGAAGUCUCCAGGUGUCACCACUUCAUCCACGACAUCGUCCACGAUCACAGAGACAUGGUCCAUGAUCGGAGAGACAUUGUUGAGGAUGAGGGAGACAUCGUCCACGAUCAGAGACAUUGUCCGUGAUCGCAGAGACCUUGUCAAAGACGAGAGAGACGUUGUCCUUGAUCAGAGACAUUGUCCCAUGCUUCGUAGAGACCUUGCGAUAGAAUCGGCGGAGACGGGGGUCACCGAUUUGACGGCACUGCCCGCGAUCAUGGAGACAUUGUUAAUGGUCACAGAGACAGCAUCUAUGAUCUCAGAGACAUCGUCCACGAUCACAAAGACACUGUCCAUGAUCACAGAGACUUUGUCCAUAAUCUCAGAGACAUUGUCCGCGAUCACAGAGACGUAGUCCACGAUCACAGAGUCUUUGAACAAUGAAGAAGUUCUUUGAGACCAGGACAGAGGCUUCCAGGUGUCACCACUUCAUCCACGACAUCGUCCACGAUCACAGAGACAUGGUCCAUGAUCGGAGAGACAUUGUUGAGGAUGAGGGAGACAUCGUCCACGAUCAGAGACAUUGUCCGUGAUCGCAGAGACCUUGUCAAAGACGAGAGAGACGUUGUCCUUGAUCAGAGACAUUGUCCCAUGCUUCGUAGAGACCUUGCGAUAGAAUCGGCGGAGACGGGGGUCACCGAUUUGACGGCACUGCCCGCGAUCAUGGAGACAUUGUUAAUGGUCACAGAGACCGCGUCUAUGAUCUCAGAGACAUCGUCCACGAUCACAAAGACACUGUCCAUGAUCACAGAGACUUUGUCCAUAAUCUCAGAGACAUUGUCCGCGAUCACAGAGACGUAGUCCACGAUCACAGAGAGUACAAUGAAGAAGUUCUUUGAGACCAGAACAGAAGUCUCCAGGUGUCACCACUUCGUCCACGACAUGGUCCAUGAUCACAGAGACAUGGUCCACAAUCACAGAGACAUGGUCCAUGAUCGGAGAGACAUUGUUGAGGAUGAGGGAGACAUCGUCCACGAUCAGAGACAUUGUCCGUGAUCGCAGAGACCUUGUCAAAGACGAGAGAGACGUUGUCCUUGAUCAGAGACAUUGUCCCAUGCUUCGUAGAGACCUUGCGAUAGAAUCGGCGGAGACGGGGGUCACCGAUUUGACGGCACUGCCCGCGAUCAUGGAGACAUUGUUAAUGGUCACAGAGACCGCGUCUAUGAUCUCAGAGACAUCGUCCACGAUCACAAAGACACUGUCCAUGAUCACAGAGACUUUGUCCAUAAUCUCAGAGACAUUGUCCGCGAUCACAGAGACGUAGUCCACGAUCACAGAGUCUUUGAACAAUGAAGAAGUUCUUUGAGACCAGGACAGAGGCUUCCAGGUGUCACCACUUCAUCCACGACAUGGUCCACGAUCACAGAGACAUGGUCCACGAUCACAGAGACAUGGUCCAUGAUCGGAGAGACAUUGUUGAGGAUGAGGGAGACAUCGUCCACGAUCAGAGACAUUGUCCGUGAUCGCAGAGACCUUGUCAAAGACGAGAGAGACGUUGUCCUUGAUCAGAGACAUUGUCCCAUGCUUCGUAGAGACCUUGCGAUAGAAUCGGCGGAGA